rnacentral:hammerhead_ribozyme from 1 species
AUCCAGUUGACGAGUCUCAAAUAGGACGAAAUACACAUGCUGGAU